UCACUGCAGCCUUGAACUCCUGACCUCAAGCAAUCCUCCCGCCUUGGCCUCCUAAAGCAUUGGGAUUACAGGUGUGAGCCACUGUACUGGACCAGAAUCUGCAUUUUUAACAGGAGUUCCAGGUUUACAUGACACCAGAGAAUUCAUGCUGGAAAGAAGAGAGAAGGAAUUCUCUAGAUGUGCCUUGAAAAAUUUCUUUGAAGUGCCUGUGUAUGAACCAGGAAUUUCACUAUCAUUUUUAGAGUCUUCUGAAGGCUAAUGGAUUUGGUAACACACUCCCUUUUCUGUACGGCUUCUGAAAAUAUUGUUCAGCUGUAUGUGGUGUCUCACAUCUGUAAUCCCAGCAAUUUGGCAGGCCAAGGCAAGAGGACUGCUUGAAGCCAAGAGCUCAAGACCAGCCUGGGCAACAUAGUGAGACCCUGCCUCUACAAAAAUAAAUAAAUAAAAUUUUUUGAAAAAUGAAAAU
rnacentral:lncRNA from 10 species